AGCGAACGCUGGCGGCAGGCCUAACACAUGCAAGUCGAACGAACUCUUCGGAGUUAGUGGCGGACGGGUGAGUAACACGUGGGAACGUGCCUUUUGGUUCGGAAUAACCCAGGGAAACAUGUGCUAAUAACGCAUGUGCCCUUCGGGGGAAAGAUUUAGCGCCAUUAGAGCGGCCCGCGUCUGAUUAGCUAGUUGGUGAGGUAACGGCUCACCAAGGCGACGAUCAGUAGCUGGUCUGAGAGGAUGACCAGCCACACUGGGACUGAGACACGGCCCAGACUCCUACGGGAGGCAGCAGUGGGGAAUCUUGCGCAAUGGGCGAAAGCCUGACGCAGCCAUGCCGCGUGAAUGAUGAAGGUCUUAGGAUUGUAAAAUUCUUUCGGCGGGGAAGAUAAUGACGGUACCCGGAGAAGAAGCCCCGGCUAACUUCGUG
rnacentral:rRNA from 1 species